AGAGUUUGAUCAUGGCUCAGAGCGAACGCUGGCGGCAGGCCUAAUACAUGCAAGUCGAGCGCACCUUCGGGUGAGCGGCGGACGGGUGAGUAACGCGUGGGAAUAUGCCCUUUGGUACGGAACAACUGAGGGAAACUUCAGCUAAUACCGUAUGUGCCCUACGGGGGAAAGAUUUAUCGCCAUUGGAGUAGCCCGCGUUGGAUUAGCUAGUUGGUAGGGUAAAGGCCUACCAAGGCUACGAUCCAUAGCUGGUCUGAGAGGAUGAUCAGCCACACUGGGACUGAGACACGGCCCAGACUCCUACGGGAGGCAGCAGUAGGGAAUCUUGCGCAAUGGGCGAAAGCCUGACGCAGCCAUGCCGCGUGAAUGAUGAAGGUCUUAGGAUUGUAAAAUUCUUUCACCGGGGAAGAUAAUGACGGUACCCGGAGAAGAAGCCCCGGCUAACUUCGUGCCAGCAGCCGCGGUAAUACGAAGGGGGCUAGCGUUGCUCGGAAUUACUGGGCGUAAAGGGCGCGUAGGCGGACAGCUUAGUCAGAGGUGAAAGCCCAGGGCUCAACCUUGGAAUAGCCUUUGAUACUGGCUGUCUUGAGUUCGGGAGAGGUGAGUGGAAUGCCGAGUGUAGAGGUGAAAUUCGUAGAUAUUCGGCGGAACACCAGUGGCGAAGGCGACUCACUGGCCCGAUACUGCGCUGANNNNCGAAAGCGUGGGGAGCAAACAGGAUUAGAUACCCUAGUAGUCC
rnacentral:rRNA from 1 species